CAGAACGAACGCUGGUGGCGUGUCUUAUACAUGCAAGUCGAGCGAGGCAGCAAUGCCUAGCGGCGAACGGGUGAGUAAUGCGUAAGCAAUCUGCCCCAUAUCAGGAAAUACCCGUGCCAACGCGCGGUUAAUGUCCAGGAGCGUGGCCUUCCGCAUGGGAGGUUGACAAGAGAUUUAUCGGUAUGGGAUGAGCUUGCGUCCGAUUAGCUAGUUGGCGGGCAACGGCCCACCAAGGCGACGAUCGGUAGCCGGCCUGAGGGGGUGAUCGGCCACAUUGGGACUGAGAUACGGCCCAGACUCCUACGGGAGGCAGCAGUAGGGAAUAUUGCACAAUGGGGGAAACCCUGAUGCAGCAACGCCAACGUGUGGGAAGAAGCAUUUCGGUGUGUAAACCACUGUCGUGAGGGAAUAAGGCGUCUUCUCGGAGACGUUGAAUGUACCUCGAAAGGAAGCACCGGCAAACUUCGUGCCAGCCGCUGC
rnacentral:rRNA from 1 species